UUUCUCUAGUAUUCUCAGGUAUACCGAACAUACAAAAUGUCUUCAGCCUUUCUGAACAUGUACAGUAAAAUAUUACUUAAAAAUGUCAGUGAUAUUUGUUACACUGUUAGAACACGAAAUGGAAACUUGUUUUUGGUGUCUAUACUUCAGAAAUACAAUGGAAUUAACAUGACAGUGUCAAAUCCAAGAGAAUUAUGUACAGGAACAAGCAAAUACAGUGCAGUUGGUAAAUUAGCACACAAUCAGAAGCCUGACUGGAAUAAGGCUGUGUCAGAAGCUGAGAAAGUAGUCAGCUACCUGACCUCAUUUUUGAGCUUAUGUUGGCUCUUGAGUGAUGAAAUUGCAAAUGUGGUUCUCCAUUUGCGUAAACUAGUUGGUUCAAAUCACCCGUUACUGAAAACUGCAAAGGACCUGUUCUGAUACCAUUCAAGACAACAAAGGGACCCAGUGGAUUUGAUCUCAGAGGACCAGGACAUCAUGGCAAUGGAUCCCUCGAGAAGUGAAUCAAAAGAUGUAAAGACUGCUGUAUAUCUGAUAAAAUGGAGGCUGAAGAAUUUGGGAAUGUUGGCAGUGAACAUGAGAGUGUUAGUAGUGAAUCUGAGAGAGAUGUGAAUUGUGAAGACAACAGAACUGGGACAGACAAUAGGAAUGGUCAACACAAGACACAUGAAGCUGAAUGAAGGUGAUGGCUUAAAGAAGGACACUAAGUCAAUAAAUGUCACAUUGUAACAUGUUUCCAGUAUUUGUUUUCUUUCAUGCAUUUGUAAUAGGAGUAUGAAAUUACUUUUUCUCUGCACAUAUUUCAGGUUUGUCAGUAGCAUACUGGAAAAGUGGCUAGGGCUUUAAAUUAUUACAGUGAUAAAAAAGAGGUAUAUUAGAGAGAAUUCUCAUUCACAUCUCAAUUAUUGAAAUUUUCCUGAAUUCUCAUCUUGAAAUGAAAGCCAUUCUUCCUUAUGCCUAUUAAAUAAGUGACUUUAAAAGAACUUCAUAUUUCUGAACAUUGACUCCCAUUAGUUAACCCAUACUUUCAGGUCCACCAGUGAGAACAUAAGGAUUUCUCUCACUCCCUUGGUGCAAACUGUACAUAUGAGGAAGAGGUUUAAGGUCAGUCACUUGGUGAUUGAAGGUGGAAAGCUCAGGAUCCCCCAGAAAUUGACAGAAUAGCCUGUCACAAAACAGUGUCACCCAUGAAAAACUUGAUACAUAUAUCUCAAUGUGUGACAUUUUCUCACCUUGGCUUUCUUUUCCUGUUCUUUAUUUUGUUUAUGUAACACCCACUGCUUGCUAAUAAUGUCUAUGAGUGCUUCCCCAAGGAUCAUAAAUUGCUUCUUAAUGCUGUUCCUUGUACAAUUUGAUGUGCUUCAUCAGCUCCCUCUCAACCUUCGGCAAUUCCUGUUAAGAGGAAGGACAAAGAACAACAUAUGGAUCCUUACACUUAACUCUGGUUGAACAAAACACCAAAACCAACCAAUGAACAUAUUCCAUCUACCAAUCCUCAAUCUGUUUUCUAAAAUACAAAUUGUCUAUAAAGUGAUCCCUUUCCAAGAGGUUUUCCACUAAAAUUCUGCUAGUGUUUCUUGUCUCCUCUAUACUAGGUACAUGUUCAGUUUAUCACAACUAUCACAGUUUUCUACCUUAACAAUAGCAGAUUGUGUGUAUAAACAACUUUUCUUUAGUUUCCUUUACAUCUCCAAAUGAAAUUUGCUUCGAUGUUUUGAAACAAGAGUUGAUGUUUAUGCACGAAAUUACAGCUUAACGUUGUUUCUGUAUAUGAAUAGUAGCUUACUAGGCAGAAUGAAUUUAGAAAUAUGUAUCAAGUCAAAAUUCUUUGUUAACGAUAUUUCAUGGAAAACAUACUUCUGUUUUGACAUAUUAAGAAUCUUUCUGUUUAGCCCAAAGAAGGUCUGUAAAAUCUCAAGAAACUCUAAGUGUACUGUGAUUGUGUUAUAAUGUCUGUAUUGUUCCUUGCAGUAUAAAUGGAAAGAAAGAAAGAUGCUCUGCCCCUGGUUGGUUGUCAUCAGGUGGGCAAAGAGCAAUUAAAUUCUUCCACUUCCCCAGGAAUUCAGCAUGGUAUAUCUGUUUUAAUUCAUUGUGUAAUGGUUUGGCGUGUGUUGCUUAAUCCAAUGACUAAAUUAAGUUUAGCUAAUGCCUGCAUUAAAUGUAUUAAAUGUAACCCCCACAAUGUAGCACAUGCACCAUGUUUGUAAUGUUUACUGAUGAAUUAUUUCAAGGUUUCGAGACAAUAUGUAAUACUUUUACAGGGCUAUUGUAUGGGCAAGAAGAGUCGGGUAUCCUACACUAUUAAUUCUUAUAGAAUGUUGUACUGUAAAUAUUUGUGCAGCAGACAUUUUGCAGAAAGUGAUUUCACUACAGGUGAAAGGGUACGCCUUAACAGAGUGGCAGUUCCAUGUGGCUCAGAUUCUGUUGCACAGACACACACCCACAGCCUCCCAACCCUUCAUUACAUACCCCUUCUUUUGAACCCCUCUCUUCAGUUUUAACUCCUGAACUGAACUGGAAGAUGAAUAGAUGCCAGAUUUUUAGUAUUCAGUAUAUUUCUGUAAGAUAUAUUAUAAUUCUUGCUAUGUAUCCAGUACUGAACUGGUGCACAUGAAUAUAAGAUUUUCAAUAUUUACUGCAUUUCUUUAA